rnacentral:tRNA from 1 species
GCCCAUGUGCUCAGUGGUUAGAGCACUGGCCUGUGCACCAAAGGGUCAUGGGUUCAAUUCCCGUCAAAGUCA